rnacentral:lncRNA from 1 species
CAAUAUACAAAAAAAAAUGCAAUGUACAUACUUUAAUAGUACACGAUACAAUAGAAAUUGAGAUAAAUAUAUCAUGAAUAUACAAUAGAAAUUGUGUCUAUCCUAGUUGCACUCAGGCUUUAGCUAAUCUUCCACAAACUCUAGAGUUUCCUUGUAGUUGGAGAACUGGUACAAUAUCAAGCUCGUGUUGAGCUUUUCUGCUUGUAUAUGGCACAUUAUGUGCACUAAUUACUUGGUAUUGGAUAUAAAGUCCUGACCUAUUUAAUCUCAUGCUUCAUGUGUUACCUAAAAUUNNNNNNNNNNNNNNNNNNNNNNNNNNNNNNNNNNNNNNNNNNNNNNNNNNNNNNUUGCUCACCUAAAAUCACUCUUUAAGGUCGCAGUCCCGUUGUCGAGAUGAACUAAAUAAUAAAUUUCAAGCUUGAUAUUGAAAGCUACUCCCAUAUUUCCCUUCAGCGUGUAUACACUUUAACCAAUAGAUCUUGAAAGACAUCAACAACUGUUGAACCUCGCAAUACAACAUUGUGAAAUCAAAGAGUACACACAUUAAAUUAUGGAGACUUUAAGUAACUAAAAAAUCUAAUAUGCCUCUUUGGAAUAUUGGCAGGAUCUUCCUUUAUAACCUUCGCCUAUGAAAUAAUCAUCUAUUUUGUACCCCCCCAUUGCAUUGCAUUACACUGUCCACUAUACCAUAUUUAAAAAAAUAGAAUUUAAAAUAUUUGAUCGGAUACAUCAAAUAUGGAAGUCUCCACUUUGAAUUUGGUGCCUCUGGCAGCUUGAACUUGAAGGUGUGCCAUGUGUUACCUGCAAUGAUGUGUCCAUUUACAAACAUAGUUAGCCACAACUCUCAACCUCACCAUUGAAAGUUAAAAUGUUUAUUAAAGUUAAAAGUUAAAAUGUUUAAUCAAGAAACAUACAUACAUGCUUAUUAUAGUUGCAGCCACAUGAUUAUGUGGUUAAAAAUUAUGCAGGCUGGAUCUUGGAGUUAUAACAGAACUGAAAAGUGGUUCCAAGUGCUCUUUAAUUUGUAAAAACAUUUUCAAAGUUAAUUCAAGAAUAUUACUUUCAUCAAAGAGAAUGAAACAAUGGUAACACUUUCUCAGCCCUGUCAUAAACAAUCCAGUUUAGAAUACAAUCUAAAAGGCUCAUUGACAUUAUGUAAGUGCUCACAUCCAAAUCCAUCAAAUUUCAUUCAAGCACUUUCCACAUUUUCAUUUACUGUUGCCCAAUUUAUGAUCUUUUUUUUCAUAUCAGAAAACUGAUAAUUGAAUGCCCAAUAAUUUCAAGAAACUAAAAAUUAGGUAAAUAAUCUUUUUACUUGAUAAUAGAUUAGGGAAAUCUCCGAAUAAUGUAGAGAAGUUCAAAAAACCAUUCCAGGAUCAACAAAAAUGAACUUAGAAAAGAGGACUCGCCCAUUUAAGAACCACCAAAAUCAUUACCAAAUCCUCAUUUACAAAUUAAGACAUCGGCAACUGCAACAUACAGAGCAACAUAGCAUCAAUGAGAUUGGUAGCAGAAUCAAAUCAAACAAAUAAAGAACCAUAGAAAGCUUAAUAAUCACUAUAUAAGCACUUUGGCUUUUAUGUUCCAACACUAUUUACUUGAUUGCUUGCAAAGUGAAGUCUUUCUUUUAAGUGAGGCCUUAAAUAUUCAAAGUGAAAAAAUCAUUCAUAAAUUUAUAAGAAAGCGAAAGUUAUAGAAAUAUUCAUAAACUAAAAAAUAAUAUAAGAAUUAGUUUUUGCAUCAAUCAACAUUUCAUAUAAUAUAUAUGCAUAAAUUGUGAUCCAAUGAAUCACCAAUAAAAAUCACAAUGCAACUUCGUAAAAGUAAUCAACAGUUACAACAUAACUACAUGUCUUUUCUCAAUGCAUAUUUAUCUCAUGAAUGACCAUUAACUUAAACAGAAUAAAAAAUCACAACUUUGAUUUAUAGUUAAAUAGUUAAAUUCAUAUGAAUGAAAGAUCUAUAUAAUUGAUGUACGAUAAGAAACUAAUAGAAGUUGGAAUCAGCAUGUUUCUUUCAAUGUGGUCAUGUUAUAAGUAGGUAAUUACCUUGAUUAAAAACUAUACCAUAAACAGAUUAGUGGAAAGUACACACACUUCUUUGAUAUAACUUUUUUAAGCUUGUGUAUUAAAAUAAUGAACAAAGUGAAAGCAUUAGACACUUCCAUCUGCACAUGAAUUAGAAGCAUUUCAGAGGCAAAGGUUUCAAAAUAAAUAAGGAACCAUAAAUAUAUUAUAAGCAUAAGUCUAUAACCUUACUUUUGAGAAGCAUGCAAUUCCUCAAAAUUAGGACCUCGAGCAAAUUUCUACCAAUGCAGCUGCCAAGUUUCCUGAGAGAAGAAUUCAACUAACAAAUUUAGGACCAGUAUAAGAAAGAAACACACUACUAUAAGAACUCAGCAGACCACCUCUAAAAGAAGCUUCAUGUAAAUAACAAAUCAAAAUAAGAAAAACAUAUAGUAGUUAUCAAACUCUAAUUCUAAAACAAAAAAGUAAAGCCAAAGAAAUACAAAAUUAGGGAUUAGAAAUACAAAUGAAAUAAAAUAGAUGGCUAUUAAAAAUUAGGUAUUUUGAAAAAGAAAGAGUAUACCCAGAAUCAAACAAUAACAUUGUCGUCGUUGGGCCGUGUGCUCUGCUUCAUCGAUCUUUGUCGUCGUUGGGUUUGUGAACCUGAACAAACAAUAACAUUCCCAAAAAAAAAAUUAAAAAUCAGAAUAUGAAAUUAAAUCAUGAAAUAAGGAAGGGAUUGAGAAGCAAGUUAAAACCUUUCUUAUUGACAAAGCUGAAGAAGCAUAUACCCAAAAUUUGAGGAAAAAAGUUGACAACAUAGAAAACCAUAUCAAAAACACGACAAAGAUAAACGUUGUUUUUGAAAAAUUUUGGAGGGGUUUUUGAAAUUUGAAAGCAUGAUGCAUUAGUCAAAGUUUGCAGAGAACACUUAGUUUUUCACCAAAAUGGAAGUUUUUGUUGAAGAUGGAGAGAAAGAAGACAUCAACAAAGCAGAAAGGGAAGAGAAAGAUUCUUUCCUUUUUCUUUUUUUAAAUUUUUUUUCUUUCUUUUUUCUGUUAUAUUGAAUUUUAAAAUUUGCAAA